UAUAUCUGGGUGUGGUGCUGGCAGCUGUGGUCAUUGUCACUGGCUGCUUCUCCUACUACCAGGAGGCCAAAAGCUCCAAGAUCAUGGAUUCCUUCAAGAACAUGGUACCUCAGCAAGCCCUUGUGAUCCGGGAGGGAGAGAAGAUGCAGAUCAAUGCAGAGGAAGUGGUGGUGGGAGACCUGGUAGAGGUGAAGGGCGGAGACCGCGUCCCUGCUGACCUCCGGAUCAUCUCUUCUCAUGGCUGUAAGGUGGAUAACUCAUCCCUAACAGGAGAGUCGGAGCCCCAGACCCGCUCCCCUGAGUUCACCCAUGAGAACCCCCUGGAAACCCGGAAUAUCUGUUUCUUCUCCACCAACUGUGUUGAAGGCACUGCCAGGGGCAUUGUGAUUGCCACAGGCGACCGGACCGUGAUGGGCCGCAUAGCCACUCUUGCCUCAGGCCUGGAGGUUGGGCGGACGCCCAUAGCCAUGGAGAUUGAACACUUCAUCCAGCUGAUCACAGGGGUCGCUGUAUUCCUGGGGGUCUCCUUCUUCGUGCUCUCCCUCAUCCUGGGCUACAGCUGGCUGGAGGCAGUCAUCUUCCUCAUCGGCAUCAUCGUGGCCAAUGUGCCCGAGGGGCUUCUGGCCACUGUCACUGUGUGCCUCACCCUGACAGCCAAGCGUAUGGCGCGGAAGAACUGCCUGGUGAAGAACCUGGAGGCAGUGGAGACACUGGGCUCCACGUCCACCAUCUGCUCGGACAAGACGGGCACCCUCACCCAGAACCGCAUGACCGUCGCCCACAUGUGGUUCGACAACCAAAUCCAUGAGGCCGACACCACCGAAGAUCAGUCUGGGGCCACUUUUGACAAACGAUCCCCAACUUGGACAGCCCUGUCUCGAAUUGCUGGUCUCUGCAACCGUGCUGUCUUCAAGGCAGGACAGGAGAACAUCUCUGUGUCUAAGCGGGAUACAGCUGGUGACGCCUCCGAGUCAGCUCUGCUCAAGUGCAUCGAGCUGUCCUGUGGCUCAGUGAGGAAGAUGAGAGACAGAAACCCCAAGGUGGCAGAGAUUCCUUUCAACUCGACCAACAAGUACCAGCUGUCCAUCCACGAGCGAGAGGACAGCCCCCAGAGCCACGUGUUAGUGAUGAAGGGGGCCCCAGAGCGCAUCCUGGACCGGUGCUCCACCAUCCUGGUGCAGGGCAAGGAGAUCCCACUCGACAAGGAGAUGCAAGACGCCUUUCAAAAUGCCUACAUGGAGCUGGGGGGACUGGGGGAGCGUGUGCUGGGGUUCUGUCAACUGAAUCUGCCAUCUGGAAGUUUCCUCGGGGUUUCAAAUUCGACACGGAUGAGCUGAACUUUCCCACGGAGAAGCUUUGCUUUGUGGGGCUCAUGUCUAUGAUUGACCCUCCCCGGGCUGCUGUGCCAGAUGCUGUGGGCAAGUGCCGAAGUGCAGGCAUCAAGGUGAUCAUGGUAACCGGGGAUCACCCUAUCACAGCUAAGGCCAUUGCCAAAGGUGUGGGCAUCAUAUCAGAGGGUAACGAGACUGUGGAGGACAUUGCAGCCCGGCUCAACAUUCCCGUGAGUCAAGUCAAUCCCAGAGAAGCCAAGGCGUGUGUGCACGGCUCUGACCUGAAGGACAUGACAUCGGAGCAGCUCGAUGAGAUCCUCAAGAACCACACGGAGAUUGUCUUUGCUCGGACAUCUCCCCAGCAGAAGCUCAUCAUUGUGGAGGGAUGUCAGAGGCAGGGAGCCAUUGUGGCCGUGACGGGUGACGGGGUAAACGACUCCCCUGCGCUGAAGAAGGCUGACAUUGGCAUUGCCAUGGGCAUCUCUGGCUCUGACGUCUCUAAGCAGGCAGCCGACAUGAUCCUGCUGGACGACAACUUUGCCUCCAUCGUUACGGGGGUGGAGGAGGGCCGCCUGAUCUUUGACAACUUGAAGAAAUCCAUUGCCUACACCCUGACCAGCAACAUCCCGGAGAUCACCCCCUUCCUGCUGUUCAUCAUUGCCAACAUCCCCCUGCCUCUGGGCACUGUGACCAUCCUCUGCAUUGACCUGGGCACGGAUAUGGUUCCUGCCAUCUCCUUGGCCUAUGAGGCAGCUGAGAGUGACAUCAUGAAGCGGCAGCCGCGCGAAACUCCCAGACAGACAAGCUUGUGAAUGAGAGGCUCAUCAGCAUGGCCUUGGACAGAUCGGGAUGAUCCAGGCACUGGGUGGCUUCUUCACCUACUUGUGAUCCUGGCAGAGAACGUUUUCCUGCCAUCACGGCUACUGGAAUCCGCCUGACUGGGAUGACCGGACCAUGAACGAUCUGGAGGACAGCUAUGGACAGGAGUGGUGAACCUAUGAGCAGCGGAAGGUGGGUGGAGUUCCGUGCCACACGGCAUUCUUUGCCAGCAUCGUGGGGGUGCAGUGGCUGACCUCAUCAUCUGCAAGACCCCCGCACUCAGUCUUCCAGCAGGGCAUGAAGAACAAGAUCCUGAUUUUUGGGCUCCUGGAGGAGACGGCGUGGGCUGCCUUUCUCUCUUACUGCCCAGGCAUGGGUGUAGCCCUCCGCAUGUACCCGCUCAAAGUCACCUGGUGGUUCUGCGCGCUUCCCCUAUAGCCUCCUCAUCUUCAUCUAUGACGAGGUCCGAAAGCUUAUCCUGCGGCGGUAUCCUGGUGGCUGGGUGGAGAAGGAGACAUACUACUGACCCCAUUGGAAGAAGAACCAGGCACAGAAAGAUGGGGAGCUCUGGAGGUGUUGUGGUGAUGGAGAGGGAUGGAAAUGACGGGUGGCAUUGGGUGGCAAGAUUUGGGGAGAGAUAAUGAGGCAACUCAGCAGGCUAAGUUGCGGGGUAAAUAAAUUGGGGUGAUGACCCCA